GCGAGUGCCAUUGCCGCUCUCCGCGAGCGCGUACACACUCAUGUCGACAAGCGCGGCUAGCCCGGCGCAGCGGUCGCCUGGUCAGAGCCAGUGGAGCCUGAGCACGCCUGUCUCCAGCAGACCACAGCACAAACUGCGCAGCAGCGUCCCUAUCGUGUCGGAUGCGUAUUGGACGCCCGACUUCGCUCACAUGGAAACUGCUCGACGACAGAAGCCAUGGCGCUUCGACUCGCUCUUCUUCGAGUCUGUCUCGGUGUCGCUGGCGGCCACAGUGAAGAUGUUUCUUCACGGCACGCGUGGCUGCCCUGACAUGUCACAGGGCCGCUUCAACUGGUUCGAGGUGAUGGGGCUCUUAAUUGGGCAUUUCAGCCACCGCGAGCUCAUAUUGACCGACAGCUUCAGCUUGCCUGUCGCUGCCUCGGAGGUGGAGUGCAGCAUGACGGAAGCCUCACAGAUUUACAUGGCCAACUACCUUGAAUACCACCGCCGCCUCGGCAAGGCAGAACCAGGGUGUCUUGGGUGGUACCACACCCACCCCGGCUACUCCUGCUUUCUCUCCGGCAUCGAUGUGACGACGCAGCGGGACAGUCAACAGAUGCAGGAUCCCUGGGUGGCGCUGGUGAUCGAUCCAGUCAAAACGCUACGGACUGGCCAGUUCUCCAUGAAGGCGUUCCGCACGUAUCCUGAGGGGGACUUUCAGGGUCAGCGUCCUCGGAGUGCGUCUCACAGCGCUGUUGACGGGGCUCAACCUGCAGCGUCUCCCGCCAGCGCCACCGCCUCUACUAUGUCUGACGAUUACGGGCUUCCUCCUUCCAACCGCGUGAAGGAGUUUGGCAUGCACGCGCACCGAUACUACGAGCUGCCCGUACGCAUAGUGCAGAGCGCGCGCGAUGCGCCACUGUGGGAGCUUCUGCAGCGACACUUCUGGCCUCUCUCGCUCUCCCUCACCUUUCCGUUCGCGCCGUCGACAAGGAUCUGCAACUGCUGUUCUGCCGAGCUCGCCAAGAUGGUGUCUGCCCUGGGGGCACGGGCACAGGACUCGUGCACAUGUGAGCGGUCUCCUCUGGCAUGUGAUAGCUUUUCUCGUAGAGGCAGCGUGGGCAGCAUGCCGCUGCUCUAUCAGUCAAGCAAAGUCGUUGGAAGUGCCCAGGCGUGCAGCGGCGGCGAUGGCAGUGCAGACGCCGACGAUGCGGCAGAAAUGGAGCAACGACUUCUCGCCAUUACAGGCGAGGUACUUCGAGUCAGAGCGGAAUCCUUCUCGUUGAUCGGCGCUUCACACCCUGUGCACGCAGAGCUGCUUGCUGCGAUGCGUGCCGUUGCCGCGGCUGCAGGACCUGCAACAACAGACAAGAGACAUGGCUGCACAUCACUAGGGACCGCUCGCAACGCGCGAAACGAGGCGUCCUUCUCGUCAUUGUUCACGUCCAGGCGCGAUGACCCAAUGGAGGAGGAGGAGGAGGCGUGAAAGGGUGGUGUGUGCUGUCGUGAUGGAGCGUUUCACGCGCGGAGAAAAUAAGAUCGGCAUCCCACUGGCUCGAGUCGGCGCAUGCGAGUGUGCGUGCUCUUUGUGGACUGCUUCACUCUCAGCGGCGUUGCUCUCUUCCUUUGCGUCGCUCUCUUUCCCUUAAACGAUGACGUCUCUCCUUCAGCCCUCUUGACACCCGAUGCCUCUGUGCUGGCCCAUCCCAUCCCAUCCCACUCUCCGUCUGUUAUUUGCAUGCUUCGCUUUUCGUUAUGCCGCGUGCAACGUUGUUGACAUCGACGAGUUCGAAGAGGGGUACACCACAGGAAAGUGAGCUCUCUACAUUUCAUCCGUCUUUACCAUCCUUGCCCGUGAGUGUAUCAACAGAAAGGGAGAAGUACAGACAGUGGCAGUCUCACGCACCGCACAGGCUCAGACAGCCAUGCGGCACAUCCACUGUUUCUCCAUGAAUCGCUGAGGAGGAUGAAAGCUGAGGCGCGACGGCUGCGUGUGAG
rnacentral:misc_RNA from 1 species